AAACCGUGAUAUGUGCAUGAAUUGACAAGAUCCUUGAGCUGCUCCCAACAUUGAAAGAAUGUUUCAUCCUCUUUUUGGGCAAAGUUCAUGAUUGACUUUCUAAGGGU